UGCAGGGCUAUUCCAGGUAGCAACAGGUUUGUGGGAUUGCAUAGGGGUGGGGUGUAAGCCUAGAUGUGAUGGUGACAGAUAGAGAGAUCCAGCUGGUGAGCAGGUUACAUAUCUCAGGUCGGUGUAUUUGAUCUAUUGCUACCAACAAAUCUCAUGAGGUCUGUUUAAAGUAACAGCCUGCGUCAGAGCCGGGCAGCUGUCUGGAUGCCUCUCCCUUCCCCACGCGCCAUCCAGUCUCACUCUCCUUCAGCUUCUCCAACACUCUCAUCACCUUCGCACGUGGAUGGGAAUGCCGUCAUCUCUGCUUCCCUCCAACACCGUUACGGUAUCUGCAUUCCAGCAGGCCCCUGGUGAGGAGACGCUCAGGCGGAUUCCACCCCUCCCUGCCUCUCUCCAGCUGCUUCACUGCUCUCCUUGAGAACAGGUGGAGCCUGCAUGUCUCAUCAAGUGGAAGGAAGAAACCUCUGGACAAUGGGGUUUAAAGAAACUGGUAGCUGCAACCUGCAUCUCUCCCUUCUACUCAGAGUGGCCUGCUCUCCCAGAAAUGGGGCCGCGUCAGAAACAUGAAUGAGCCGGCGGUGUGGUGUCAUUACUGGAAGCAACAGCAGCGUUUCCUGUUGGUUAGGAUGUGAGAGUGGGAUUUAGGACUCACGGGUGCUUUCAUUGGCAUUAUGUGAUAGUAGGGUCUCCAAGGGACUGGAAGCCAGGACACCAAGGGCCUAUUCCCAGUCAUUGCCUUGCUUUGUGCCUCAGUUUACCCAUUUGUAAAAUGGAUAUCAGUGUGUAUUGCCCACACUUAGUAAA